GACGAACGCUGGCGGCGUGCUUAACACAUGCAAGUCGAACGGAAAGGCCCCUGCUUGCAGGGGUGCUCGAGUGGCGAACGGGUGAGUAACACGUGGGUGAUCUGCCUUGUACUCUGGGAUAAGCUUGGGAAACUGGGUCUAAUACCGGAUAGGAACUGCCUUUAGUGUGGUGGUUGGAAAGUUUUUUCGGUGCAAGAUGAGCUCGCGGCCUAUCGGCUUGUUGGUGGGGUAAUGGCCUACCAAGGCGUCGACGGGUAGCCGGCCUGAGAGGGUGUACGGCCACAUUGGGACUGAGAUACGGCCCAGACUCCUACGGGAGGCAGCAGUGGGGAAUAUUGCACAAUGGGCGGAAGCCUGAUGCAGCGACGCCGCGUGGGGGAUGACGGCCUUCGGGUUGUAAACUCCUUUCGACAGGGACGAAGCUUUUUGUGACGGUACCUGUAUAAGAAGCACCGGCUAACUACGUGCCAGCAGCCGCGGUAAUACGUAGGGUGCGAGCGUUGUCCGGAAUUACUGGGCGUAAAGAGCUCGUAGGUGGUUUGUCGCGUCGUCUGUGAAAUUCCGGGGCUUAACUCCGGGCGUGCAGGCGAUACGGGCAUAACUUGAGUGCUGUAGGGGAGACUGGAAUUCCUGGUGUAGCGGUGAAAUGCGCAGAUAUCAGGAGGAACACCGAUGGCGAAGGCAGGUCUCUGGGCAGUUACUGACGCUGAGGAGCGAAAGCAUGGGUAGCGAACAGGAUUAGAUACCCUGGUAGUCCAUGCCGUAAACGGUGGGCGCUAGGUGUAGGGGGCUUCCACGUCUUCUGUGCCGUAGCUAACGCAUUAAGCGCCCCGCCUGGGGAGUACGGCCGCAAGGCUAAAACUCAAAGGAAUUGACGGGGGCCCGCACAAGCGGCGGAGCAUGUGGAUUAAUUCGAUGCAACGCGAAGAACCUUACCUGGGCUUGACAUACACCAGAUCGCUGCAGAGAUGUAGUUUCCCUUGUGGUUGGUGUACAGGUGGUGCAUGGUUGUCGUCAGCUCGUGUCGUGAGAUGUUGGGUUAAGUCCCGCAACGAGCGCAACCCUUGUCUUAUGUUGCCAGCAUUUUAGUUGGGGACUCAUGAGAGACUGCCGGGGUUAACUCGGAGGAAGGUGGGGAUGACGUCAAAUCAUCAUGCCCCUUAUGUCCAGGGCUUCACACAUGCUACAAUGGUCGGUACAACGCGCGGCGACACUGUGAGGUGGAGCGAAUCGCUGAAAGCCGGUCUUAGUUCGGAUUGGGGUCUGCAACUCGACCCCAUGAAGUCGGAGUCGCUAGUAAUCGUAGAUCAGCAAUGCUGCGGUGAAUACGUUCCCGGGCCU
rnacentral:rRNA from 1 species